GUGCCUAACACAUGCAAGUCGAACGCGAAAGUCCCGCAAGGGAUCAGUAGAGUGGCAAACGGGUGAGUAACACGUGGGUGACCUGCCUUCGAGCGGGGGAUAACGUCCCGAAAGGGACGCUAAUACCGCAUGACAUCCUGCCUUUGAAGAGGUGGAGAUCAAAGCUGGGGAUCGCAAGACCUAGCACUCGAAGAGGGGCCCGCGCCUGAUUAGCUAGUUGGUGGGGUAACGGCUCACCAAGGCAACGAUCAGUAUCCGGCCUGAGAGGGCGGACGGACACACUGGGACUGUUACACGGCCCAG
rnacentral:rRNA from 1 species